rnacentral:rRNA from 1 species
CCUACGGGUGGCAGCAGUGGGGGAUAUUGCACAAUGGGCGAAAGCCUGACGCAGCGACGCCGCGUGAGGGAUGAAGGUCUUCGGAUCGUAAACCUCUAUCAGCAGGGAAGAACAUUCACUGUGCUGAUCAGCAGUGAAUUGACAGUACCUGCACAGGAAGCACCGGCUAACUCCGUGCCAGCGGCCGCGGUAAUACGGCGGGUGCGAACGUUAGUCGGAAUUACUGGGCGUAAAGCGCGCGUAGGCGGUAUGUCAAGUCAAGGGUGAAAUCCCCGCGCUCAACGUGGGAACUGCCUUUGAAACUGGCAAACUGGAGUGUGUGAGAGGAUAGUGGAAUUCCAGGUGUAGGAGUGAAAUCCGUAGAUAUCGGGAGGAACAUCAGUGGCGAAGGCGACCAUCUGGAACAUAACUGACGCUGAGGAGCGAAAGCGUGGGUAGCAAACAGGAUUAGAUACCCCUGUAGUC